rnacentral:tRNA from 1 species
GGAGUUGUGGCUCAGUGGUAGAGUACUUGCCUGGCAUGUGUGAAGCCCUGGGUUUGAUCCUCAGCACUGCCU